UACGAAGGGGGCGAGCGUUGUUCGGAUUUACUGGGCGUAAAGGGCGCGCAGGCGGUUCUGUUUGUCAGGCGUGAAAGCCCCGGGCUCAACCUGGGAAUGGCGCCUGGGACGGCGGGACUAGAGAUCGGGAGAGGAGCGUGGAAUUCCCAGUGUAGAGGUGAAAUUCGUAGAUAUUGGGAGGAACACCUGCGGCGAAGGCGGGUUGCUGGGCCGACACUGACGCUGAGGCGCGAAAGCCAGGGGAGCGAACGGG
rnacentral:rRNA from 1 species